rnacentral:rRNA from 1 species
UCGCCAGCAGAAAAUGAUUGUUGGUAGUACCUGCUCAGUGCCCUAGAUAAGGGUAAACAGCCGCUGUAUUUUGACGGUGCUAAGGUAGCGAAAUUCCUAGCCUUUUAAUUGGAGGCCUGCAUGAAUGGUUUGACGAGCGCCCGACUGUCUCUUUUCCGUGUGUAUUGAAAUUAGCUUCUGUGUGAAAAGACACAGAUGGUUGAGUAAGACGAAAAGACCCUGUGCAACUUUACUAGGUGGGUAGGUUGGCUAUCAUAAGGUUUAGCUGGGGCAGCUAGGGAAAAACCAAAACUUCCCUAUUGAUUAUAGACUAAUAGGUUUUGAUCCAAUAAGUAGAUUGAUCAGUAGAAAAGUUACGCCAGGGAUAACAGCGUUAUCCUUCUGUGGAGGUCUUAUUUGCAGGGGGGAUUGCGACCUCGAUGUUGAAUUAGGGAUAUAGCGGGAAGGCGCAGCGGCUUUUCUUGUAGGUCUGUUCGACCUUUAAAACCCUACGUGAUCUGAGUUCAGACC